rnacentral:rRNA from 1 species
AUUGAACGCUGGCGGCAUGCUUUACACAUGCAAGUCGAACGGUAACAGGCCGCAAGGUGCUGACGAGUGGCGAACGGGUGAGUAAUGCAUCGGAACGUGCCCAGUCGUGGGGGAUAACGCAGCGAAAGCUGCGCUAAUACCGCAUACGAUCUCUGGAUGAAAGCGGGGGACCGAAAGGCCUCGCGCGAUCGGAGCGGCCGAUGUCAGAUUAGGUAGUUGGUGGGGUAAAGGCCCACCAAGCCAACGAUCUGGAGCUGGUCUGAGAGGACGACCAGCCACACUGGGACUGAGACACGGCCCAGACUCCUACGGGAGGCAGCAGUGGGGAAUUUUGGACAAUGGGCGCAAGCCUGAUCCAGCAAUGCCGCGUGCAGGAAGAAGGCCUUCGGGUUGUAAACUGCUUUUGUACGGAACGAAACGGUCCGGGUUAAUACCCUGGGCUAAUGACGGUACCGUAAGAAUAAGCACCGGCUAACUACGUGCCAGCAGCCGCGGUAAAAC